rnacentral:lncRNA from 1 species
UGUUAAAUAUAUAUUUGCUCUUCAAUCCUGUUUCCUGGCAUGCAACUCCUAAAAUCCUUAGAAUUUCCAAAGUGAUAUCUUUUUGUAUGCUAAUAAUUGACUGAUGGCUGGCAGCCUCUGGUUGCUUCAGGAUGGGAACUAGUCACCAGAAAGACCAAGGUGCCAUUAGAGGGUUGGGACUUAACAGCCUCAUUCCCGACCUCCAGGGAGGGGAGAGGGGUGGAAGAUUAAGUUGAUCACCAGUGGCCAAUGAUUUAAUCAAUCAUACCUAUGUAAUGGAGCUUCCAUAAAAUCCCCAAGGGACUGGGUUUGGAUAGCUUCCAGAUAGCUGAAUAUAUGGAGGUUCCUGGAGGGUGGUGACCCAAGGAGGGCAUGGAAGCUCUGAGCCCCUUCCCCAGUACCUCACCCUAUGCAUCUCUUCAUCUCUAUCCUUUGCAAUAUCCUUUAUAAUAAACUGGUCAACAUUAGGUAUUUCCCUGAGUUCUGUGAGCCUUUCUGACAAAUUAAUCAAACCCAAAGAGGGGGUCAUGUGAACCCAAACUUGAAGCCCAUCUGUCAGAAGUUCUGGAGGCCUGAAUUUGCGACUGGUGUCUGAAGGGCCUGGGAACAGUCUUGUGAGACCUAGUCCUCAGCUUGUGGGAUAUGACGCUAUCUGUAGGUAGAUUUGUGUCAGAAUUGAAUUGGAGUAAACCCAGCUGGUGUUUGCUGCAGAACUGAUUGCUCACUUAGUGUGUGGGAAAACCCCACACAUUUGAACAUGGAAAUAUUCUUUGUUGAUUGCCGUGAUGUGAGAGCAAAGGAAAAAGUUUGUGUGUUUUCCCCUCAGAGCAUAUUUUAAAGCUAAGUUGCUAAUAAUUGCUUAAAUUUACUAUAUUUGCCUUUAUAAAAACUUUACAUUAUGUAUGUUUAAAGCUUGAAGCUAUUCAAUUAUAAUAUAAACGUGGAUCUACAACUGAAGCAUGUUAUAAUUUAAAUAAUUGAGUUUUACAAAUUGGUUCAUAUAAAAUCCUAGGCAAUACUGUAAAAUUAUACAGACUGUCAACUUUUUCCACUUAAAUCUUCUGAGCAAAAUUUAAGGGUGUAGUAGUUUUCAAGUAAUUUGAAAUGUCAAUAUUAAUAUUUAGUUUUGUGAUGUUUAUGUGGGCAUAUUUUCUGAUAUAAAAAAAUGACUUUCAGGAGUUGAGAUCAAUAAAAUAAGGAGGUAAUAAAUACCUACAUCUGUUUAAAGACAUAAAAUAUACAAUUUAACACUAAAGCUACUUGGUAUAAAAAGUCAAAAGAAAAAGAAUAAAAAGCCAUCACAAAACACAAUAUAUGCAUGACAUAUAUUUUUGUCUAAAUAUAAACUACAUCAGCUUUUCUAGAGCUCAAGUUGAAAUAAUAAAUAACUAAUGUUUUAUGAAAAAUCAUUAUAUGGUUUAUUUAGACUUAAUUUUGCUUUUACAACUUAUUUUUAAACAUUAAAUAGCAUUAUAAUUUUACUGGGAUAAGGACAUAUAGUGUAGUACAUUAAAGUUAUAUAUAAAAUAAUGUUGCAUAUGAGAGAAAAAGCAUAAUAAAUCAGAAACUAUAAAAAGCUUUCAUGAAAGAAUAGGAUAAAAAUACUGUAUUUCUCUAGUCUGUUCACUCUCUAAUGUCUCUGGUUCUUUCAUAUCAUCUUUCUUCCCUCAAAUCUUUUAAUAUACCCUCCCUCAUCAUUUCCAACUAGUGACCUUGCUUUCUAUUUCUUUAAGAAAAGAGAUACGCUCAGACGAGAAUUGCCAGUUUAAAGAACAUUUAUAAAGCUAUCACCCACGUAAUAACUAGCCCGCGCAAGAAAUAGAGCCCUUUAAUAACCUACUCCUCUCCCCCCGCCAAUGAUGAUAUCCCUCCUUCCAUCUUAGGGGUAGCCCCCAUGCUGACUUUUGUGAUAAUAAUUUCUUUGCUUUUGUUUAUAGGUUUUCUUCCUUAUAAGCAUCCCUAACCAACAGCUCUGUUUUACAGAUGUUUGAGCAUUAUAUGCUUUAUAAACUUGGAAUUGUGACUAUCUUGUUUCACUCCACAUUGCUUGUGAUACUCAUCGAUAUUGCAGAUAGCUGUAGUUGAUCCAUUUUUAUUGUUUACAGUUUACCGUUGUACCAUAAUUUAUUCAUGAUAAGUUUGAGGGUCAUUCUGGUUGUUUGCAGGGUUUUCUUUCUUUCUUUUUUUCUUUUUUUUUUUUUUUACAGUUUAUUAGUUUUAUUGAUGCGUAAUAAUUGUAUAUGUUUCUGGGGUACAUUUGAUAUUUUGAUACAUGCAUACAAUAUGUAAUGGUCAAAUCAAGGUAAUAGGGAUAUCCAUCAGCUCAAAUUUAUCAUUUCUUUACGUGGGAAACAUUCCAAAUCUCUUCUAGCUAUUUUGAAAUACACAAUAAAUUGAAUACUGUGGUC